UAUACAUGGAAGCAGAAUGUUUUU
rnacentral:piRNA from 1 species